UACGGGGGGGGCAAGCGUUGUUCGGAAUUACUGGGCGUAAAGGGCUCGUAGGCGGCCAACUAAGUCGGAUGUGAAAUCCCCAGGCUCAACCUGGGAACUGCCUUUGAUACUGAGGAUCUUGAGUUCGGGAGAGGUGAGUGGAACUGCGAGUGUAGAGGUGAAAUUCGUAGAUAUUCGCAAGAACACCAGUGGCGAAGGCGGCUCACUGGCCCGAUACUGACGCUGAGGCACGAAAGCGUGGGGAGCAAACAGG
rnacentral:rRNA from 1 species